rnacentral:rRNA from 1 species
CAGCCGCCGCGGUAAUACGUAGGGGGCGAGCGUUACCCGGAUUCACUGGGCGUAAAGGGGGUGUAGGCGGCUCGGUAAGUCGGGUGUGAAAUCCCACGGCUCAACCGUGGAAUUGCGCCCGAAACUGCCGAGCUUGGGGCCGGUAGAGGGAGCCGGAACUGCCGGUGUAGGGGUGAAAUCCGUAGAUAUCGGCAGGAACGCCGGUGGGGAAGCCGGUCUCCUGGGCCGCGCCCGACGCUGAGGCCCGAAAGCUAGGGGAGCAAACCGGAUUAGAUACCCGGGUAGUCCUAGCCGUAAACGAUGCCCACUAGGUGUGGGGGAGUAUUUCCUCCGUGCUGGAGCUAACGCGUUAAGUGGGCCGCCUGGGGAGUACGCCCGCAAGGGUGAAACUUAAAGGAAUUGGCGGG